rnacentral:rRNA from 1 species
UUGGGAAUCUUGGACAAUGGGGGAAACCCUGAUCCAGCCAUGCCGCGUGAGUGAUGAAGGCCUUCGGGUUGUAAAACUCUUUCGGCGGGGACGAUAAUGACGGUACCCGCAGAAGAAGCUCCGGCUAACUUCGUGCCAGCAGCCGCGGUAAUACGAAGGGGGCUAGCGUUGUUCGGAAUUACUGGGCGUAAAGCGUGCGCAGGCGGCCAUCCAAGUCAGUGGUGAAAGCCCGGAGCUCAACUCCGGAAUUGCCAUUGAAACUGUUCGGCUCGAGUACGAGAGAGGUGAGUGGAAUUCCCAGUGUAGAGGUGAAAUUCGUAGAUAUUGGGAAGAACACCGGUGGCGAAGGCGGCUCACUGGCUCGUAACUGACGCUCAUGCACGACAGCGUGGGGAUCAAACAGGAUUAGAUACCCUGGUAGUCCACGCCGUAAACUAUGAACGCUAGCCGUUAGGCAGCUUGCUGCUUAGUGGCGCAGCUAACGCAUUAAGCGUUCCGCCUGGGGAGUACGGCCGCAAGGUUG